UACAGGGGGUGCAAACGUUGCUCGGAAUCAUUGGGCGUAAAGCGCACGUAGGCGGUCUGUUAUGUCGGAUGUGAAAGCCCUUGGCUCAACUGAGGAAGUGCAUCCGAAACUGGAAGGCUUGAGUAUGGGAGAGGUAAGCGGAAUUCCUGGUGUAGCGGUGAAAUGCGUAGAUAUCAGGAGGAACACCUGCGGUGUAGACGGCUUACUGGACCAUAACUGACGCUGAGGCACGAAAGCGUGGGUAGCAAACAGG
rnacentral:rRNA from 1 species